rnacentral:rRNA from 1 species
ACGAACGCUGGCGGCGUGCUUAACACCUGCAAGUCGAACGGUAAGGCCCUGCUUUUGUGGGGUGCUCGAGUGGCGAACGGGUGAGUAACACGUGAGUAACCUGCCCUUGACUUUGGGAUAACUUCAGGAAACUGGGGCUAAUACCGGAUAGGAGCUCCUGCUGCAUGGUGGGGGUUGGAAAGUUUCGGCGGUUGGGGAUGGACUCGCGGCUUAUCAGCUUGUUGGUGGGGUAGUGGCUUACCAAGGCUUUGACGGGUAGCCGGCCUGAGAGGGUGACCGGCCACAUUGGGACUGAGAUACGGCCCAGACUCCUACGGGAGGCAGCAGUGGGGAAUAUUGCACAAUGGGCGGAAGCCUGAUGCAGCAACGCCGCGUGCGGGAUGACGGCCUUCGGGUUGUAAACCGCUUUCGCCUGUGACGAAGCGUGAGUGACGGUAAUGGGUAAAGAAGCACCGGCUAACUACGUG